rnacentral:rRNA from 1 species
UACGUAGGGUGCAAGCGUUAUCCGGAAUCACUGGGCGUAAAGCGUGCGUAGGUGGAUGUUUAAGUGAGAUGUUAAAUCGUGUGGCUCAACCAUAUCGAUGCAUCUCAUACUGGGCAUCUAGAGGACGGCAGAGGCAAGUGGAACUAGCAGUGUAGCAGUGAAAUGCGUAGAUAUUGCUAAGAACACCAAUGGCGAAGCAGCUUGCUGGGCCACUCCUGACACUGAGGUACGAAAGCGUGGGGAGCGAACAGG